AGUGAACGCUGGCGGUAGGCCUAACACAUGCAAGUCGAACAGCAGCACAGGAGAGCUUGCUCUCUGGGUGGCGAGUGGCGGACGGGUGAGGAAUACAUCGGAAUCUACUCUGUCGUGGGGGAUAACGUAGGGAAACUUACGUUAAUACCGCAUACGACCUACGGGUGAAAGCAGGGGACCUUCGGGCCUUGCGCGAUUGAAUGAGCCGAUGUCGGAUUAGCUAGUUGGCGGGGUAAAGGCCCACCAAGGCGACGAUCCGUAGCUGGUCUGAGAGGAGGAUCAGCCACACUGGAACUGAGACACGGUCCAGACUCCUACGGGAGGCAGCAGUGGGGAAUAUUGGACAAUGGGCGCAAGCCUGAUCCAGCCAUACCGCGUGGGUGAAGAAGGCCAUCGGGUUGUAAAGCCCUUUUGUUGGGAAAGAAAUCCAGCUGGCUAAUACCCGGUUGGGAUGACGGUACCCAAAGAAUAAGCACCGGCUAACUUCGUGCCAGCCGCCGCAGUAA
rnacentral:rRNA from 1 species